rnacentral:hammerhead_ribozyme from 1 species
AUCCAGCUGACGAGUUCCAAAUAGGACGAAACGCACGUAAGACUGGAU